rnacentral:rRNA from 1 species
AGCGAACGCUGGCGGCAGGCUUAACACAUGCAAGUCGAGCGGGCGUAGCAAUACGUCAGCGGCAGACGGGUGAGUAACGCGUGGGAACAUACCUUUUGGUUCGGAACAACACAGGGAAACUUGUGCUAAUACCGGAUAAGCCCUUACGGGGAAAGAUUUAUCGCCGAAAGAUUGGCCCGCGUCUGAUUAGCUAGUUGGUGAGGUAAUGGCUCACCAAGGCGACGAUCAGUAGCUGGUCUGAGAGGAUGAUCAGCCACAUUGGGACUGAGACACGGCCCAAACUCCUACGGGAGGCAGCAGUGGGGAAUAUUGGACAAUGGGCGCAAGCCUGAUCCAGCCAUGCCGCGUGAGUGAUGAAGGCCCUAGGGUUGUAAAGCUCUUUUGUGCGGGAAGAUAAUGACGGUACCGCAAGAA